GCGCGACCGGCGCGACGGGUGAGUAACACGUAUGUAACCUGCCCUAUGCAGGGGGAUAACCUGGAGAAAUCCGGCCUAAUACCGCGUAACACCUUUUGGGAGCAUUCCCGGGAGGUUAAAGGAGAGAUCCGGCAUAGGAUGGACAUGCGUCGCAUUAGGUAGACGGCGGGGUAACGGCCCACCGUGCCGACGAUGCGUAGGGGUUCUGAGAGGAAGGCCCCCCACACUGGUACUGAGACACGGACCAGACUCCUACGGAAGGCAGCAG
rnacentral:rRNA from 1 species